UGGGGAAUAUUGCACAAUGGGCGAAAGCCUGGUGCAGCAACGCCGCGUGAGCGAUGAAGGCCUUCGGGUCGUAAAGCUCUGUCCUCAAGGAAGAUAAUGACGGUACUUGAGGAGGAAGCCCCGGCUAACUACGUGCCAGCAGCCGCGGUAAUACGUAGGGGGCUAGCGUUAUCCGGAUUUACUGGGCGUAAAGGGUGCGUAGGCGGUCUUUUAAGUCAGAAGUGAAAGGCUACGGCUUAACCGUAGUAAGCUUUUGAAACUGGAGGACUUGAGUGCAGGAGAGGAGAGUGGAAUUCCUAGUGUAGCGGUGAAAUGCGUAGAUAUUAGGAGGAACACCAGUAGCGAAGGCGGCUCUCUGGACUGUAACUGACGCUGAGGCACGAAAGCGUGGGGAGCAAACAGGAUUAGAUACCCUGGUAGU
rnacentral:rRNA from 1 species